GACGAACGCUGGCGGCGUGCUUAACACAUGCAAGUCGAACGGAAAGGCCCUUCGGGGUACUCGAGUGGCGAACGGGUGAGUAACACGUGGGUGAUCUGCCCUGCACUUUGGGAUAAGCCUGGGAAACUGGGUCUAAUACCGAAUAGGACCACGCGCUUCAUGGUGUGUGGUGGAAAGCUUUUGCGGUGUGGGAUGGGCCCGCGGCCUAUCAGCUUGUUGGUGGGGUAAUGGCCUACCAAGGCGACGACGGGUAGCCGGCCUGAGAGGGUGACCGGCCACACUGGGACUGAGAUACGGCCCAGACUCCUACGGGAGGCAGCAGUGGGGAAUAUCGCACAAUGGGCGCAAGCCUGAUGCAGCGACGCCGCGUGAGGGAUGACGGCCUUCGGGUUGUAAACCUCUUUCAAUAGGGACGAAGCGCAAGUGACGGUACCUAUAGAAGAAGCACCGGCCAACUACGUGCCAGCAGCCGCGGUAAUACGUAGGGUGCGAGCGUUGUCCGGAAUUACUGGGCGUAAAGAGCUCGUAGGUGGUUUGUCGCGUUGUUCGUGAAAACUCACAGCUUAACUGUGGGCGUGCGGGCGAUACGGGCAGACUAGAGUACUGCAGGGGAGACUGGAAUUCCUGGUGUAGCGGUGGAAUGCGCAGAUAUCAGGAGGAACACCGGUGGCGAAGGCGGGUCUCUGGGCAGUAACUGACGCUGAGGAGCGAAAGCGUGGGGAGCGAACAGGAUUAGAUACCCUGGUAGUCCACGCCGUAAACGGUGGGUACUAGGUGUGGGUUCCUUCCUUGGGAUCCGUGCCGUAGCUAACGCAUUAAGUACCCCGCCUGGGGAGUACGGCCGCAAGGCUAAAACUCAAAGGAAUUGACGGGGGCCCGCACAAGCGGCGGAGCAUGUGGAUUAAUUCGAUGCAACGCGAAGAACCUUACCUGGGUUUGACAUGCACAGGACGCCGGCAGAGAUGUCGGUUCCCUUGUGGCCUGUGUGCAGGUGGUGCAUGGCUGUCGUCAGCUCGUGUCGUGAGAUGUUGGGUUAAGUCCCGCAACGAGCGCAACCCUUGUCCUAUGUUGCCAGCGGGUUAUGCCGGGGACUCGUAGGAGACUGCCGGGGUCAACUCGGAGGAAGGUGGGGAUGACGUCAAGUCAUCAUGCCCCUUAUGUCCAGGGCUUCACACAUGCUACAAUGGCCGGUACAAAGGGCUGCGAUGCCGUGAGGUGGAGCGAAUCCUUUCAAAGCCGGUCUCAGUUCGGAUCGGGGUCUGCAACUCGACCCCGUGAAGUCGGAGUCGCUAGUAAUCGCAGAUCAGCAACGCUGCGGUGAAUACGUUCCCGGGCCU
rnacentral:rRNA from 1 species